ACCAACGAAAUAUUUUCAUUGAAAAUCUGUUGGAAAUUUUUUUAGGGUAAAAAAAAAUUCUCCCACAAACUUUUUCAACGAAAUUUUUAAUAAGUUUCCAUUAAAAUUUUGCAAUGGAGAAUUAUCUAUUGAAAAUCCAUUAGAAAUUUUAAAGACCUAAAAAAAUUGAAAGCCCCCUAAAGUUAUCAGUCGAAAAAUUAUUCUAAUCCCUAACUGAUGGUUCACUUUCCCUAAAUCUCUCUUUGCUUCCUCUUCUUGUGCUGAGAGCAGAGGGUGAAACCCAUUUGCUGGCUCACUCAUCACUUUCCCAAAAUUGUUUUGUUUUCUGGCUUUGCUGUGAAUCUCCGUUAGCUGUGCUGUUUUUGAAGGAUCUCUGUUUUGCUCCUCGUCAACAUCUGCACUUUGUCGUCUAUCAGUCGAUUUUUAUCAGAGUUUUUUUCUCCUUUGCCCGAACUCCAUCUUCUUUGGCUUUCGAUUCCUGAGAUAAGUGAUUACUCAAGUGCAUUGCUCAGCACAUCGAGAGUUGCUGCAAUGUAGAUAAUGGCAUCUCUUAGGCUCCCACUCCGAGUCACUCCACUGCCUAGAGGUCGUACCGUGGCGAGUAGUCAGCCUCAUAAUGAUUAAUAGUUAUGGAACUGUAUUUGUUAAAAAAUUGAUGUUGUGUAAUGAUUGUCACUCAUUAAGUUGAAUAUGUUGUGUAGUUAUUAAACCGGAUUAUUGGUAUCUAAACGUCAUGAUUUAA